rnacentral:rRNA from 1 species
UACGAAGGGGGCAAGCGUUGUCCGGAAUCAUUGGGCGUAAAGCGCGUGUAGGCGGUCCGGUAAGUCCGCUGUGAAAGUCGGGGGCUCAACCCUCGGAUGCCGGUGGAUACUGUCGGGCUUGAGUACGGAAGAGGCGAGUGGAAUUCCUGGUGUAGCGGUGAAAUGCGCAGAUAUCAGGAGGAACACCAAUGGCGAAGGCAGCUCGCUGGGACGUGACUGACGCUGAGACGCGAAAGCGUGGGGAGCAAACAGG